CUCAGUUAAGCGAAAACUGAGUGAAGUGGAAAGCUUUUGUCAGGCUAAAGUAGAAGUCCUCUAACUAUUGCCUUCUGCCUUUCAAAUGAGCAGUACAAACACAUUUCUAUUUUAUUCAUUUCCAGAAUCAGUACACUUUAUGAGCUAACAAUCAUUCCUUCUAACAGUCUUGCUAUGAUUCCAGAUCUGCAUCUAAAAAUAUGCCCAACUCCUAGCAACAGAAACUGCUAUGGCUAGUCACUUAUCACUCAAGUUUGAGGUAUCUAGGACUUUCGUACUCCAAGGCUCGCAGGUUACAUGUAAGGAUGGCCUAUUCUUCCACAAAGAAGCUCCUUAAUUUUUACGUUUAUACAAAACUCAUGAAGCCUUUGUAGAAGCUGAUGAAACUAGGUCUACUACUUACUUGAAGGAUUUCAGGAAGAAAAUACCUGAAUCCAGUUGUUAGGUCUUCCAUCUUCUUAUAACUUACAACACCUACCCUGUGUUUUGCAAUUCUUCAGCUCACAGUUGACUACUAUUUAGUUUAAGUGGAACUGGCACUGAAGCAGGAAGGUAGUGAUUCAAUGUGCAAGUGAUUAACAGGAAGGGCCCCCAUCAGCUGAAGGGACCGCUGGAAGUCGACUGGAUAGAGAAAUCACUUCUUACCUGCACAAAGGCUGUGACAGAGAGUGAGUUCUCUGUUAUUUUCACCAUCAAAGCAGUGAAAACAGACCUGAAGUUACAUGAACCUUCAAGCCACUCCUAGUUCUCACGGAUAUGUACUUUCAUCCUACAAGAUACGUGCAUUUUGCUUUGGCUAGCUUAUUUAAAGAGCAGUUGGAGGAGACAAGUAGCUAAGUAAGGUCUUGGGGAAUACCUUUUGGAUAAGCCUGCUCUGUGCUAUAUAUGCUAUGGUGAAGGGAAGGAAGAGUAAUUCCAGGUCCAGAAAUGCUAUACCGAAAUGAAAACCUGUUGCAUUCAGAUGAAGAAUGAAUACAUAAGAAAAAACAUUCCUCACUGAUUAAUUACUGCUGAAAGCUGUGGAAACUUCAGGCAUAGAUCACUUCCUUCUGUAAUGACAUCCAUAAGGGGGAACAUUAUAAAAGGUAAAAUGUGACGAUUCCCUAAUGGAGUAUCUUCCUAAUAUUUAAUCCUCCGGAAGUCCCAAACCCAACACCUGUGGUAGUUCUCCAUGGGUAGAAGCCCUGUGACUCUAUACUAAUCCUGCCCUGAAACAUAGUAGCUAUGGGUGCAAGUCCUGGAUCACCCUUCCUUUCAGUAGGUAUACUGCUUCUCCACUUGCCUCUCACUCCCUGUGCAGAGCAUUAGAUACUCAGUCUCCUUACUCUUUCUGAAAGGAAUAAAAGAGAACCUCAUGUAAUCUCA
rnacentral:lncRNA from 1 species